UACGUAGGGGCCGAGCGUUGUCCGGAGUUAUUGGGCGUAGAGCGCGCGCAGGCGGCCUCGCGCGCCCGACGUGAAAGCCCCCGGCUUAACCGGGGAGGGUCGUUGGGGACGGCGGGGCUUGAGGGCGGGAGAGGUCGGUGGAAUUCCCGGUGUAGUGGUGAAAUGCGUAGAGAUCGGCAGGAACACCCAGGGGGAAACCAGUCGACUGGGCAGCACCUGACGCUGAGGUGCGAGAGCGUGGGGAGCGAACCGG
rnacentral:rRNA from 1 species